GGUGACUGCGUACCUUUUGUAUAAUGGGUCAGCGACUUAUAUUCUGUAGCAAGGUUAACCGCAUAGGGGAGCCGGAGGGAAACCGAGUCUUAACCGGGCGUUAAGUUGCAGGGUAUAGACCCGAAACCCGGUGAUCUAGCCAUGGGCAGGUUGAAGGUUGGGUAACACUAACUGGAGGACCGAACCGACUAAUGUUGAAAAAUUAGCGGAUGACCUGUGGCUGGGGGUGAAAGGCCAAUCAAACCGGGAGAUAGCUGGUUCUCCCCGAAAGCUAUUUAGGUAGCGCCUCGUGAAUUCAUCUCCGGGGGUAGAGCACUGUUUCGGCCAGGGGGCCAUCCCGGCUUACCAAUCCGAUGCAAACUGCGAAUACCGGAGAAUGUUAUCACGGGAGACACACGGCGGGUGCUAACGUCCGUCGUGAAGAGGGAAACAACCCAGACCGCCAGCUAAGGUCCCAAAGUCAUGGUUAAGUGGGAAACGAUGUGGGAAGGCCCAGACAGCCAGGAUGUUGGCUUAGAAGCAGCCAUCAUUUAAAGAAAGCGUAAUAGCUCACUGGUCGAGUCGGCCUGCGCGGAAGAUGUAACGGGGCUAAACCAUGCACCGAAGCUGCGGCAGCGAACGUAUCACCCAAGACAACUUUGCAUAGUUGACGAUUGACGGAGCGAAGCGACGUCAAAGCGUUUUACAACGUCGAGUUGGCUUAGGGAUACGUUCGUUGGGUAGGGGAGCGUUCUGUAAGCCGUUGAAGGUGUGUCGUGAGGCAUGCUGGAGGUAUCAGAAGUGCGAAUGCUGACAUAAGUAACGAUAAAGCGGGUGAAAAGCCCGCUCGCCGGAAGACCAAGGGUUCCUGUCCAACGUUAAUCGGGGCAGGGUGAGUCGACCCCUAAGGCGAGGCCGAAAGGCGUAGUCGAUGGGAAACGGGUUAAUAUUCCCGUACUUGGUGUUACUGCGAAGGGGGGACGGAGAAGGCUAUGUUGGCCGGGCGACGGUUGUCCCGGUUUAAGCGUGUAGGCUGACUUUCCAGGCAAAUCCGGAGAGUCAAGGCUGAGGCGUGACGACGAGGCACCACGGUGCUGAAGCAACAAAUGCCCUGCUUCCAGGAAAAGCCUCUAAGCCUCAGGUAACAUCAAAUCGUACCCCAAACCGACACAGGUGGUCAGGUAGAGAAUACCAAGGCGCUUGAGAGAACUCGGGUGAAGGAACUAGGCAAAAUGGUGCCGUAACUUCGGGAGAAGGCACGCUGACACGUAGGUGAAGCGGUUUACCCGUGGAGCUGAAGUCAGUCGAAGAUACCAGCUGGCUGCAACUGUUUAUUAAAAACACAGCACUGUGCAAACACGAAAGUGGACGUAUACGGUGUGACGCCUGCCCGGUGCCGGAAGGUUAAUUGAUGGGGUCAGCGCAAGCGAAGCUCCUGAUCGAAGCCCCGGUAAACGGCGGCCGUAACUAUAACGGUCCUAAGGUAGCGAAAUUCCUUGUCGGGUAAGUUCCGACCUGCACGAAUGGCGUAAUGAUGGCCAGGCUGUCUCCACCCGGGACUCAGUGAAAUUGAACUCGCUGUGAAGAUGCAGUGUACCCGCGGCAAGACGGAAAGACCCCGUGAACCUUUACUAUAGCUUGACACUGAACACUGGUCCUUGAUGUGCAGGAUAGGUGGGAGGCUUUGAAGUGUGGACGCCAGUCUGCAUGGAGCCAUCCUUGAAAUACCACCCUUUAAUGGCUGGUGUUCUAACGUGGACCCGUGAUCCGGGUUGCGGACAGUGUCUGGUGGGUAGUUUGACUGGGGCGGUCUCCUCCUAAAGAGUAACGGAGGAGCACGAAGGUUGGCUAAUCCUGGUCGGACAUCAGGAGGUUAGUGCAAUGGCAUAAGCCAGCUUGACUGCGAGCGUGACGGCGCGAGCAGGUGCGAAAGCAGGUCAUAGUGAUCCGGUGGUUCUGAAUGGAAGGGCCAUCGCUCAACGGAUAAAAGGUACUCCGGGGAUAACAGGCUGAUACCGCCCAAGAGUUCAUAUCGACGGCGGUGUUUGGCACCUCGAUGUCGGCUCAUCACAUCCUGGGGCUGAAGUAGGUCCCAAGGGUAUGGCUGUUCGCCAUUUAAAGUGGUACGCGAGCUGGGUUUAGAACGUCGUGAGACAGUUCGGUCCCUAUCUGCCGUGGGCGCUGGAAGAUUGAGGGGGGCUGCUCCUAGUACGAGAGGACCGGAGUGGACGCAUCACUGGUGUUCGGGUUGUCAUGCCAAUGGCACUGCCCGGUAGCUACAUGCGGAAGAGAUAAGUGCUGAAAGCAUCUAAGCACGAAACUUGCCCCGAGAUGAAUCUUCCCUGAGCCUUUAAGGCUCCUGAAGGAACGUUGA
rnacentral:rRNA from 1 species